AGCGAACGCUGGCGGCAGGCUUAACACAUGCAAGUCGAGCGGGCGUAGCAAUACGUCAGCGGCAGACGGGUGAGUAACGCGUGGGAACGUACCUUUUGGUUCGGAACAACACAGGGAAACUUGUGCUAAUACCGGAUAAGCCCUUAUGGGGAAAGAUUUAUCGCCGAAAGAUCGGCCCGCGUCUGAUUAGCUAGUUGGUGAGGUAACGGCUCACCAAGGCGACGAUCAGUAGCUGGUCUGAGAGGAUGAUCAGCCACAUUGGGACUGAGACACGGCCCAAACUCCUACGGGAGGCAGCAGUGGGGAAUAUUGGACAAUGGGGGCAACCCUGAGCCAGCCAUGCCGCGUGAGUGAUGAAGGCCCUAGGGUUGUAAAGCUCUUUUGUGCGGGAAGAUAAGGACGGGACCGAAAGAAUAAGCCCCGGCUAACUUCG
rnacentral:rRNA from 1 species